GGUUGCGAUCAUACCAGCACUAAAGCACCGGAUCCCAUCAGAACUCCGCAGUUAAGCGUGCUUGGGCGAGAGUAGUACUAGGAUGGGUGACCCCCUGGGAAGUCCUCGUGUUGCAACCCU
rnacentral:rRNA from 1 species